UUAAUCUCCAUUUGCUUAUUAAAAAAAAUAUUGUUGGACCAAUUUUUCACAGGAGUGAUGAUACUUUGGGCACUGAAAUGAUACACUAUAUUGUGUAAUGAGGGCAGACGAGGAAAUUUUGGGUCCUGGAAGGGACGUGAAGACGCAAACGGAAAAUCGACACUAGCGCCAUCGCGACCGGAACCGGCGGCGGCGCUAGUGGUACCGUGAUGAUCGUAUGACGCAGCAUUUUGUGUGAUGGCGUCCGACGCUGGGAGUGAAUCCACCUGCAUUGUUUAAAACUUAUAGAUUCAGUUGAAGUGAAUAAACAAUUGAUCUAUCAUAGAUGAACUAGUGAAGCCAAAAUUAGUCGUCUCUCCACGAGAAAUGGAAACUUCCAAAUUUGAAUCCUGUAGCGCAGGUUCAGUCACGUUCAAGAGGACAGUCACAUAAAUGAAGUUCGUGCUAAAUCGAAAUAUAUCGAAACGCGUGAUUCUGAUUCCUCAUUGGUGAGGAUAAUCGCCAUAUGUUCAUAUCGAAGUCGGGGAAUUCAAAUCCCACGUGCGGAACACACAAUCAGUCUCGUGAUAAUAAAAAAAAUGGAUGUCCUCGAAUGCGUGAAAUAUGAGAACAAUAAACUGUCGACGCAUCGAUUCAUGCAUGAACUUGUUAUCAAACAGCCAUAGUAUUUCCAUCCCCAUCCUACAAACUGCCUGGGAAAUCCUGUUCCAGAUUGGAAUAACGUCUUAUAGUCAGUUUCGUCGUUGUAUACCGUGACCCAGAUACGUCUUCGGGGGGAUAUUCGGAGGAUUCUGAGGAAAAUCCGAGGACGUCUGCAAUCGGAGACGAAUGAUCGAGACGCCUAUGAUGUCUUCAAAGGAUGAAAGAGUGAGGGAGGAGUGGGAGGUAAAGAAAUCGAGAGGAGUGACUAAAGAUUCAUUCUUUUUUGGAGAUCCUUCUCGGGAUUGUGAAGACAUGCACGAGUGGGAGAGAAUAUUCUAUUGACGAACUCGAACGUUGGAGCUGCGUCAGUCAUACCAAAUAACCCUCCGGGUUCGUCUGAUCCUCCUGUCCCUCCAACCCCACUCCUCUUGUCGCCUCAAUCGCUAGUAUCAUCACAGAAAAUAUUUCCGGAUGAGAAUGGAGAUGCUGUAGAUGUCAUUCGGAUUUUUAUGGCUGGGAGAGGAUCCAGAAUGUCAUUUGCUGUGAGAUUUCUGAUGCGGGGUUACAAGGCUGUUAUGCACCAGAAAGAAGCUAGUGACUGGAGCGAUCGUCCUCGUAAAUCCAACCCGCUCGGCCAACUGAGGGACGCUGAGAGUGGGAAAAUGAGGGUCGAAGGGUGAGAGGUAUAAAAAGCCGAAAGACGAUGGUGAGAUGCAUCGCCACGUUUCGACCGAGAGAAUGGUAGGGAGCUCAGUGGAGGAGGUGAAAACCCAGGCAGAGGUGAGUGACAAAUGCAGUAAUCUAAGUUUUUCCAUCCUGAAGGGGAAUUACUUGUUGUACGUAGACCAGGAGCGACGCGAGAGCCGAGUAAUGUUUCGCAACAUCGACCUGGCGAAUAACUCAGCGUUGUAAGACUCUUU